AUCAGCCAUAAGUGUUCUUUAAAAAAAAUUCACAUUUACAUAGAGCUUGUUGUUGUUACGCAUCAGGUUUCACCAUUUCAAUACAAUAAAAAUGUAAUUUAAUGCAAAGCUCUUUAUUGCAGGUUUACAUGUCAGAUUUGACAGAACUUUUUAGCUGGACAUGCCCUAGAUGUGAUGGAAAGACCAAGGGGUUCGAAGUCAUUAAACUGAUAGUUGACCUUUAGCACUGCUUACAGGCACAUGUUGGGGUGGCCAAGGACCUUAAUGCUAUGGUUAUUGCUUUCAAAGGUUUCCAAGAACAUAGCAUACAAAAUUGGGUUGAAGAUCUCUAUUGGAAAAAGCUUGACAUAUUACCCCGGCAUGCCUAGUGCCAUGGUUCAUUAUGGAUUUUAUCAUGCUUAUCACAAUAAACAAUUCAACCUAGAUUUUUGGAUGCUGUUAUGAGAGCCAAGGAUUUAUACAGAGACAUCAACGUCAUGGUGACAGGGCAUUCUAUUGGAGGGGCUAUGGCAUCCUUUUGGGGACUCGAUCUUGUGCUCCUCUUCAGUCAGACUACUGGGCUAGAUAAACGUAUGUAUUUGCAAACAUUUUUUUGUUCAUGUGAAGUCCUCAGAGAGGUACUAACCGAGUUUCUGGAAGACUAGUGUUUAAGGCUUACAAGGGAUCCAAUCGGGCCGGAUAGCUUCUUGUGAUCCCAGCUCCUUGCAGAGAAAGCUCAAUGGGGAAGUCAGGUGACUGAUUGAAGGCUUUGCAGUCAGUAGGAACGAUGGCAAGCAGAGAGAAUUUGUGCACUCUUCAAUCCUGGACAUUCAGGCAUAUGCUUUGUUGGUGUCCCAUCGAUCAAGGGUUCUCUCAAACGUUCCAUUUUACCAGGCUCCUUUGGGAGGUGGUGGAGAUCACUCUUUCUAAAUUCAUGUGUACCUGGAAUCUAGCAUCUAACAGCACCAUUUCAUCAUCGAAAGGUCCACCUGACCGAACUGAAUUGAGGUCCUACAGCAAUCCCUUUGAAGGCAGAAGUCCAUGUCAAUCUUUCCCUUCCAUCUGGGAAUUCUCCUUUGAGAUAGAGAUUGUUGACAUUUGUCCGCUAAAACCAGCAUACGAAUCGAAUGAAGUCAAUGUCUAGCAAGUUAGUCGACAUGACUUUUUCCCCCAAAAUUCAUGCACCCCUUGCUAAUUGGCGGGGGGGUUCACACCGGUAGCUCUUGCAAACAUUUUUUUUGUUCAUGUGAAAGUCCUCCGAGAGGUACUAACCGAGGUAUACUUGUUUCAUCAUUUUAUUCAGUCAGUUCACCGUUCAUGCUACUCAAUAGUUUAUAGCAGCAUCAUUAUUUGGACUGCCCUCUAUCGGUGAUCUUACUCAUGCUUAGUCUUGUCUGGAAGAAAUCUUUGAAAAGAACAGCAGAAACAACAAUGAUAGCAACUGUCACCACAUAGGGCAACCUCAAGUGGUCAAUCGUUUUGCACUAGCACAAGUGGUCAACUCAGCGGAAACAACAAUCGUUGAGAUGCACGAGGAUUGGGGAUGGUCCGACUCAGCCUUCCCGCCCGAGCCAUGAUGGAUUGCGAUUUUUUUCCUCUGAUAAAUUAAAAAAAAUGCAGGAAGGAGAUGUUC